GGGAGUGGAUGGGUCCCGGUGGGUCUCGCGGUCUUCAAAACCGUUGCCCCGACGUCACGCGUCGGGGGGUGGGUUCGACUCCCACGCACUCCCGCCA
rnacentral:tRNA from 1 species